rnacentral:tRNA from 1 species
GCCUGGGUGGCUCAGUCGGUUGAGCGCCUGACUUCAGCUCAGGUCAUGAUCUCGCGGUCUGUGAGUUCGAGCCCCGCGUCGGGCU